rnacentral:rRNA from 1 species
CCGGCGCACGGGUGAGUAACGCGUAUCCAACCUGCCUUACACUCUUGGACAGCCUUCUGAAAGGGAGAUUAAUACAAGAUGUUAUCAUGAGUAAGCAUUUCCACAUGAUUAAAGGUUUACCGGUGUAAGAUGGGGAUGCGUUCCAUUAGAUAGUAGGCGGGGUAACGGCCCACCUAGUCUUCGAUGGAUAGGGGUUCUGAGAGGAAGGUCCCCCACAUUGGAACUGAGACACGGUCCAA